AAGCAGUGGGAUCAAGGCAGAGUAAGUAUUGAGCAUGACAAAAACAGAGGCCAUGGUGGGUCUGUUAGAUACAUUUUCUUGAACACAUAAUAGUCCAAUGUGAAUGCACCUUAUCACUUCAGACAUAUCAUAAUUUUCUCUCAUUUUUGGAUCUAUC